UGGUGGAACAAUUAUUAUAUUAUUAAUCGAAGUUGGCAAAUUACUAAAUUGAUUAUUUAUCAAGGACGAAACUAGUCGUGCCAGUCGGAUCCGAGCUUUGGUAAUAAGAAAGCGUGUUUUCCGCUACGUCCUCGCGUAGUCCUUUAAAGGAUGUUUUAAAUUAUUAUAACUGUAUCAAAAUUGUUAUGUGAUGAUACGGUUUAAUCGAAAACGAAAUUGCAGUUACAAAUAAUGGAUUAUGUGAUUGAAAUUAUGGAGUAAUUACUACAAAAAAGAGAGAGAACCUACGGAAAAUUACCGUCAUGGAAGGUGUUCGCAUAAUGAUUGAAUUUCGUAGAUGAUCGAUAAGGUUCACAUGUACGUUUGGAUUGAUAUAACGCCGAUGAUAUUUUUAUUCUUGGUGCCUGCAAAUCUACAUCCUUCAGCCAUGAUGGGGUCGAAAUGUGGUUCCUUUUUCCAUCAAUGUUUUCCAAACUGUCUGAGCUUUUCGUUGGGUGAUUUUUUUGCUUCAAUGUGAAUAUGUACUGGAGUAAAAGUGGGUUUAUUGAACAAAAUAUUUAUUAACGUCCUGUUUUCUAUUUCGUAAAUUUAUUAGUAAUAAGUCAAAAAUCUUGGUUUGUGGAUACUUACCUUUGCAUUUCAUAAUUUUUCUUUGAUUUACACUUUUCCAAAUUAUUAAUUUGAUUGUCCUUUUUAAUGCUCUUGCCUUUUUAUUUGAUUUAUCAGUAACGAACUAAGUAAUAUAACAAAAUCGGCACUAAUUAAUUUUUUAUUGCCUAUUUUCUAAAUUUAAUUCAAUAUAUUAUUAUAAGUUAAUAUUAUUA